AAGGUUUCUUUGCAGGGUAUGAGAGGCUGUAGCGGGAGGAAGGGAGAAGGGAAUGGGUUAACUCGAUGCUCCAGCUAGGUCUGAACAUAAGAUGCUGACUCCAGCCCAAGGCCACAGCACACAACCGACUCUCGGCUGCCUGCCAAGAAAGACGGGGGCCUGGAUUCCAACCCCAACCAGCCGUGAGAAAGGAGGAUUCAGCUGAAGAGAACUGCAGGGGCUGCGAAAACCAGUGAAACAGUGAAGGCCAGAGAGUGGGAAAACAACAUUCUUGCGUCCCUGAAGCCAGUGUGUUUUGGGAAAGCUGAGGAAGCUGGGGAAAGCUGGCUUGGACUGGUACAAAGAGCAUAGGGGACAGAGGUCCCUGAACAAAACACCCCCAAAAGACCCCAGGACUUAAAACCCUCCAGAGAGCUAAAAAAAUAGGAGAUCAACAGCAGACCCUGGACAACCUGUGAACAGGACAGAAUUCUCGUCCACCCUUCCCCCUCUUCUUCUGACGUUACACCCAGGGUUGGCCAGCCUCGGGUCAUGCGUGUAUAUAAAUAAAGCUUGGGAAAAAAUGUGACAUGUGGAUGAAGGAGGAAAAAUAACAGAUCCAGACACCCUGGUACCACUCAGUGGCCAUAGAUGCCAAACACAACAAAUAUGUUUUACAACAAGCCUGGAGCACUAACCACCUUUCUCAUGAAAGCUAUAUGAGAGUAUGGCAAGGCCACUAUACUGAGCCAGGGGAAUAAGCUGACUCCAAAAAUACUCAAGCAUUGGCAUGAUGACAGAAUUGUGAUAGAUCUGCAAAGGGGGGACUACAACUCCCAUCAGCCCCUUCCCCACUGCACUUCCCUUACCCCUGGCCUGAUAAAGGGAAAGAUCCUGAACCAAGAAGUGGCCAGGGUCCGUUUGGAGACAGUGGCUGUAUGGCAAGUGAAGAGAUGGAGGGAAGGUGAAGCAGCAGCUGCAUGGCAAGCCAGGGGCUGGAAAGAAGCUGCAAACAGGAAGGGAUGCAGACCUGUGUGUGGAACAGGCUCUGAGUGACAGACGCUACAGUGGCUUGCAGGUCAGUUGAGACUUAUGGGGAAGCUGCAAGACCUAUUGAGUUCUGGGAGCCAGUGCAGAGACCCUAAAGAGAGAUUAACUGAGCCUGGCUUGGAAACCCACAAGCUCCAGUUUGAAUAGCGACUGGACUGGAGAGGGCACUCCAGACACUAGCCCUAAAGCGCCUGACUCUUGAUUGGAGUGUCCCCAGGGGCCCAAACAUUUACCGCUAUCACUCACUGUGAACUGUAAGUGUUUAAGCCUCUGUAUCUAGGCUCUUCCUAACCUUUCCCUUUCCUACCAGCCCUAGCAAAAUAACCUUUUCCCUUAUCCUUGUAUCUGAAUGGUUAUUGGGAUCCACCAGGACUAGAAUCUAAAGACCUAGUUACUGAAGCAUCUAGAGCACUCACCUCUGAGUUGUGGUGCAACUGGAACGCUACUGGCACCCUAAGCGUUUAGUGUAUUCUGGCACAGAGGAGCAGCAGCAAUAAUGAGUGUUGCCAAGGAUUAGAUCAUGGUGGAGAAGGCAGGGUGGUGAUUGUGGAUGUUUUUGCUGCCAUUUUUACCCUGCCAUUUGCUCCACCCACGCCUCCUGCCUAAUUGUUCCCUUUGUAUCCUUCUCAUAGGCCCAUCUUUCUUUUAUGGUGCUCCUUACACCUCUAGAAUAUUCCAAAUAACCAUUGCUCUUCAUUCCACUCCCUCCUUAAAAUGUGCUGCUUCAUCCAAGCAUUUCAGUGAUUAUCUAUGUCAGAAACAAAUGUCUUAGAAUAAUUUGACUACAAAACCCACCCACCAAAAUUCUGAACCUUCAUCUGAUUUACUGGUGUCUCAUUAGGGCCUAUUACAGUUGGCUGAAAUUUUUCUGUUGAAACUGGUUUUUGAUUAAACAAAUUUUGUGGGAAAAAGUAUCUACUUGCAGAAAACUUCCCUUUUUUUAUGGACACCCCAAAAUUGAAAUAUUUCAGAUGAAAACAGAACUUUGGGGUGUUUGGUCAUUCUUCAUAUUCAAAUUUCCACUAAAAAUGAAACACUUUUUGACCUGCUCUAGUCUGUACUGCAUUGAAGACUACUCUACAGCUAGUUCCUGAUAUAGCAGCAAAGAAAAUUCCCUAUAUCUCUACGUAUCUGGAGGAGCUAAGAUGGCAAAAUAUGCAGUCAUAGCAGCCUAGACAGAGGGCAGCUGACCAGUGGCAGUGGAAAGGUGAAACCCAUCCUCUAUUAGGGAUUGUCAAAUUAGGAUGUGACACUGCACCCCAUAUUCUUGAUCGUGAUAUUAUUCUGAUAUGAUUAUGGCAUAAUCAUGAUGCAUUUUGUAAAAGAUAUGUCAUGUCAAGUGUCUAUGGAAAAGUUCAUAGAUACUAAGGUCAGAAGGGACCAUUAUGAUCAUCUAGUCCAACCUCCUGAACAACGCAGGCCACAGAAUCUCACCCACCCACUCCUGCGAAAAACCUCUCACCCAUGUCUGAGCUACUGAAGUCCUCAAAUUGUGGUUUAAAGACUUCAAGGAGCAGAGAAUCCUCCAGCAAGUGACCCGUGUCCCAUGCUACAGAGGAAGGCGAAAAACCUCCAGGGCAUCUUCCAAUUUGCCCUGGACGAAAAUUCCUUCCCGACCACAAAUACAGCAAUCAGCUAAACCCUGAGCAUAUGGGCAAGAUUCACCAGCCAGAUACUACAGAAAAUUCUUUCCUGGGUAACUCAGAUCCCACCCCAUCUAUCAUCCCAUCACAGGCUAUUAGGCCUAUUUACCAUGAAUAUUUAAAGAUCAAUUAAGUUGCUGAAUAUGAUUAUCCUAUUUGUAUGCAUGUAAUAUUUUUGUAUCUGAAGUUAUGAAUAUUGACUAUGUAUCUGCAUUUCACAUGCAGUCACACCUGAUUGGAAGCAUCUUGCCUAGUGGGUGUCAAUCUAAAUAGCGGGUUGUGACGGGCCCAUUCAGUGUAAUGGGCCAUUAGUAGGAUUCCGUGUCUUUCUGCGACUGCCGUGACUUCUACAGCAGCCAGUGUGGCAGACUCCAGGGCCGCCCAAGGGCUGCUCAGGUAGCCCUGGGGACAGCCACAUCAGCUGCUAAUUCAUAUCCUAUCUUUCAAGUAUCUAAGGCUUAGUUUGUGGUUUUGUUUAUUUACUAGGUAAUCUGCUUGAUCUGUUUGCUAUCACUUCAUAAUCACUUAAAAUCUAUCUUUUGUAGUUAAUAAACUUGUAUGUUUUAAUCU